GAUGAACGCUGGCGGCGUGCUUAACACAUGCAAGUCGAACGAAGCACUUUAUUUGAUUUCCUUCGGGACUGAUUAUUUUGUGACUGAGUGGCGGACGGGUGAGUAACGCGUGGGUAACCUGCCUUGUACAGGGGGAUAACAGUUGGAAACGGCUGCUAAUACCGCAUAAGCGCACGGCAUCGCAUGAUGCAGUGUGAAAAACUCCGGUGGUAUAAGAUGGACCCGCGUUGGAUUAGCUAGUUGGUGAGGUAGCGGCCCACCAAGGCGACGAUCCAUAGCCGACCUGAGAGGGUGACCGGCCACAUUGGGACUGAGACACGGCCCAAACUCCUACGGGAGGCAGCAGUGGGGAAUAUUGCACAAUGGGCGAAAGCCUGAUGCAGCGACGCCGCGUGAGCGAAGAAGUAUUUCGGUAUGUAAAGCUCUAUCAGCAGGGAAGAUAAUGACGGUACCUGACUAAGAAGCACCGGCUAAAUACGUG
rnacentral:rRNA from 1 species